GACGAACGCUGGCGGCGUGCUUAACACAUGCAAGUCGAACGGAGUGGCGAACGGGUGAGUAACACGUGGGUGAUCCGCCUUGCACUUCGGGAUAAGCUUGGGAAACUGGGUCUAAUACCGGAUAGCGCAAGAUGAGGUCGCGGCCUAUCAGCUUGUUGGUGGGGUAAGGGCCUACCAUGGCGGCGGGUGGUAGCCGGCCCGGGAGGUUGUACGGCGACAUUGGGACUAAGAUACGGACCAGACGCCUACGGGGGGCAACAGUGGGGAAUAUUACGCAAUGGUCGGGAGUCUAAGGAGGCGGCGCUGCGUGGGGAAAGAAGGCCUUCGGGUUGGAAACUCCUUUCGGCAGAGACGCGGUACCUGUAGAAGAAGCACCGGCUAACUACGUGCCAGCAGCCGCGGUAAUAC
rnacentral:rRNA from 1 species